rnacentral:misc_RNA from 1 species
GAAAUGCGAUAAGUAAUGUGAAUUGCAGAAUUCAGUGAAUCAUCGAAUCUUUGAACGCACAUUGCGCCCCCUGGUAUUCCGGGGGGCAUGCCUGUUCGAGCGUCAUUUCACCACUCAAGCCUCGCUUGGUAUUGGGCGACGCGGUCCGCCGCGCGCCUCAAAUCGACCGGCUGGGUCUUUCGUCCCCUCAGCGUUGUGGAAACUAUUCGCUAAAGGGUGCCGCGGGAGGCCACGCCGUAAAACAACCCCAUUCCUAAGGUUGACCUCGGAUCAGGUAGGGAUACCCGCUGAACUUAAGC